rnacentral:rRNA from 1 species
ACGCACGCUGGCGGCGUGCUUCACACAUGCAAGUCGAACGGAAAGGCCCUGCUUUUUUGGGGUGCUCGAGUGGCGAACGGGUGAGUAACACGUGAGUAACCUGCCCUUGACUUUGGGAUAACUUCAGGAAACUGGGGCUACUACCGGAUAGGAGCUCCUUCUGCAUGGUGGGGGUUGGAAAGUUUCGGUGGUUGGGGAUGGACUCGCGGCUUAUCAGCUUGUUGGUGGGGUAGUGGCUUACCAAGGCUUUGACGGGUAGCCGGCCUGAGAGGGUGACCGGCCACAUUGGGACUGAGAUACGGCCCAGACUCCGACGGGAGGCAGCAGUGGGGAAUAUUGCACAAUGGGCGGAAGCCUGAUGCAGCAACGCCGCGUGCGGGAUGACGGCCUUCGGGUUGUAAACCGCUUUCGCCUGUGACGAAGCGUGAGUGACGGUAAUGGGUAAAGAAGCACCGGCUAACUACGUG